AGCAUCGCCCGCCGAUUUACUACCCCUGUAUAUCAAGCAAGAGACUGCAACGGUCAAAGGGCCUGGGACCAUAUGGAUGUGUGAGACAGUUGAGAAGGAAGUAUGAUUAUAGCGAUCUGACGUAGGGGAUGAAGCUCUGAGAAAAUAGGAGCGAUGGGACUAGACUCUAGUUCUGGCGGUGGCAUGACCAGCGUGCGCAAGUGCGUCUAAGCCGUAUCAAAUUAGUGCUUACCAACUCCCCUGCACUUCCUCGUUGUAUUGACAGUGUGUCGCAGCAUCAAAGUGAAACAUUAUUCUUUCCUUCAUUAAGUGCUGCUAUCAGCGCCGUUGACACCGUCACUAGGUGGUAGUUGCCUGGAAGGAGUAAUGAUGGAAGGGUGUCAGUGGGUGCCGCUCACAACCAUCAACAAGGUUAGGGCAGGCUGUGCAAGACCCAGUAGCGUACCUCGUUAAGACUGCCGUAAUGCUGACCACUGUCUUUUUAGGUUUCUUAUCCGUGUUUGUCUUUUGCUGAUGCAGCUUUCUGAGAGGACGGAAGUUCCCUGGCACUGUCCGGCUCACGCGCACCGGAGAUGACAGUCAGCAAAAAGAUGCAAAGGGCUCUGCUCCUGCACCUGCCGUUCAGACUUCACAAGGUGAAGCCGCAAAUUCCACAGAAGACAGGCAGUUGCGCAGCCUACACGGGGAGCCCUCCACAUCCAAACAGGUACCAUUCCUUGCAAAAUUGCCAUCCCUGUUACGCCAUAUAAUUGAGGAAAAGAGGCUGGUCAAUUGGCAAAGCAGAAGGAAGAGACCCGAGGAGUACUGUGCUGUUUUGGCGCAGGACAUGAGCACAGACAUCGAUGGGCACCUCAACGCCCGCCUGGUACAGCUGGAUCUGGGCAACAUAGUCCCCGGGUC
rnacentral:lncRNA from 1 species